UCUUCUCCAGAGAAAUCUCCAAAAUUCUUUCCCGUGUCCCUCUUCCUCCCCCCAAACCACCGCUCACUUUGAACCCUAGCUGACCUCUCCCUUGCCUUCAUCUGUCUCUAGCUGAGCUCCUCCACAACUGCCGGCUGUAGUCAGAGUGAGGUUCCCCUUCCUUGGACGGCGGCGGUCGACUGCGGUGCCGCCCUCUGCUUCAUGUCAUGAAGGUUGCCGCCCGGGCAACAGUGGUGCCGCCCUCUUCAGGCUAGAGCACGACCAAGUCAGCCGCUUCCCAUCUCCCUCCUUUUCUGACUGGCACUGGACGCAGGAACCAUGUGUCAUCGCUGGCGGCAAGGAGCUGUGGGAGAGAUCAACUAGGUUCUCUCUGAGGUUGGGCUCGCUUUCAUCGAUGCCUGAGCUGUAGAGGCAUGUUACGGAUGCGCCGCGGGCCAAGCAGUGCCCCGCCUAGAAGGCGACUAAGGAUCCCCCGCUGUGCGCGUGAGUGCGUCCCUGGUCACGGUGCAACUAAGACAGCCGUGGAAACGCACCCAUCGAUUGCCGCCUUGAUGCCUGUCCUCCGGCAGAAUCGAGGAAGCAGCCUCGCGCAGGGCUAGGCUACUGAACGCCGAGAACAGGCUUACAGUUCACUUGAUCCAUGUCUUUGACGGAUUGACAUUGUGUUGGUGGCUGCCGGCCGGAUUGUCCUGCUUCUGCGUGGUGGUUGUUGGCAUAGAGCCAUAGACAACCAAACAAUGGAGAUGGACAACGCCAGUUCCAGCCGGACCUGCAGCAUUGUAACAAGUUUCAGUGAGGUGUUUGGUAUUGCAAGUUUCCAAUCAGCCGGACCUGCAGCAUUGUAACAAGUUUCAGUGAGGUGUUUAGUAUUGCAAGUUUCCAAUCUUUCUUUUACGGUGACCUCAGAUUUUGAGUACUGGAAAGAACAAGGAAUCCAUCUGUAAACGAUUGCUCUGUUGGAUUCAAGGUCAUAAACUAAGAAAAGAAACUGGACAAGCAUUGAUAUAAUCUGGAACAAGGUGGUGGCAAACGUUAGAAGAUGACCAGUGCUUUGCAAGCAUUCUCACACUUCAGUGUUGGUCAGGAACAUGCUGCUGCUGGCAGAUACAACGGUUGAGUCGUUACAGAUUGGCUAGAUAUGAACUAUGCAGGCUUCAUGAAGAUGUUUAAGCGCUCCCCUCCUCUAGAUUAGCUUUUCAGCUGAUUCUCCUUAGUCCUUAUAUCCCAUCUGUGCUUCGCUCAAUGGUUGAGUUUCAAAAUUGUAAGUGAAUGAUGUAUGAGACCUAUUACGGUUGCAUGUCAAUGGAACCAGGGGGCAAUCCCUAUUCAAAAAACA